ensembl:lncRNA
CGAUGGACAGGUCCUAUGGAGGAGGCAACAGAGACUCUGCUCUCCUCGUUUGGAUUAAUUCUGAUAUAAUAACUGUUGGUUUAUUUAUCGGUGGAACAUUUUCCACAGACAGUUUUCCUGCCCGUUGGCUUGUUUUAACCAGUUUUCUGCCUUCAGCUGAUUCUACCAGCAGACACUGAAAGGACUCUGAUAGUUUGAGUGAAAGUAGCAGUUCCUCCUUAAGGUCAGAGAUUGCAGCAUCUGAGGGCCUCUUCAAAAGAAGACGUAUUUGAUGAAGGUGUUCUGGAGCAGGACCAGAAAGACCACGACCAAGCAGCCUUGAGAUCUUAGACAGCAUCUCCCUCAGGUGGAUGUCAACGGUGUUCACAGUCAGGUCCCUCUCUAUCUCCCCACACAUCCACCAACCACUGGAACACAUCUCCAAAGUUCUGCCGGGCCAGCUCAGCUUCCCCUCAGAAGAAGUUCCACCACCUGCCAGAUGAAGGAGCCUUUUGAGAGGCAGCUGGCAUCGUGAUUGGACUGUACUUUGGUCUGUUCCAAUCCAGCUUCAGCUCCAGAGACGGCAGGCGGGACGAGUCAACGGAGGCCUGGUGGACGAAGGCAUGCAGCUGAGUACAAUCCAGAAAACAACAGAGGAGGAGUGCAGGGCCAGAAUAAAC